AGCUCCAAUAGCGUAUAUUAAAGUUGCUGCAGUUAAAAAGCUCGUAGUUGGAUUUGUGGCGCGGCCGUCCGGCGGGGCUCCUUCAUUGGGGCCGUUUGUCUGGUUUUUCUGCCGCUCCAUUCUCGGGUAGUGUGUCGCUGGCAUUAGGUUGUUGGCUUCUUCACGCCCGUCGUUUACUGUGAAAAAAUUAGAGUGUUCAAAGCAGGCUUAGGCCAUUGGAUACAUUAGCAUGGAAUAAUGAGAUAGGGCCACGGCGGUCUAUUUUGUUGGUUUGCACGUUGUGGUAAUGAUUAACAGGAACGGUUGGGGGUAUUCGUAUUCAAUUGUCAGAGGUGAAAUUCUUGGAUUUAUGGAAGACGAACUACUGCGAAAGCAUUUACCAAGGAUGUUUUCAUUAAUC
rnacentral:rRNA from 1 species